CCUGGAGGGAGACGGAGGCUGGCGGGAGGGCUGGGGGAAGGGAUCCCGGCCUGGCACAACUGCUGACUAAUCGGCAGGCGGGAUCACGCGCCUGUGUGUGCGCGCAGCGGGCUCGGGGCACCUAGAAAACUCAGGCCCAAGAAAUUGAGUACUUCCCCUAGAGUUACAAAGCUGAAUCCGACCCAGACCCCGGGACUCCCCUCUCUGUGCUCCACCCGGAAGCUUCUCCACUGUCCUUGAUUUCCCAUUCUGUCCUCCUGGCUUCCCAGUAAGAGUCACUGACACGGUGGACAAACACAGACAAACAUUAGCAUGGCAUGGCGGGCGAGGACUCUGAAGAAACCAGGGUCCAUGUGGGAGAAGUAGGCGUGUCACGCCUUUCUGAGGAUGGGCGUGGUUUCACCGCUGAAGCUUAUGGCUGGCGGCAGGAAUGGAAGGGAGCGGGGAGCCGGAUGUGUAGCCGCCAGUUUCCCAUUUGAUGUAAAAUCACCUCCUUCAGAUAUGGUUGGAGGAGUGUUACCGGCUUGCCUAUGAUGUAUGAGACCCUAGUUUCCAUUCCUAUCGCCAAGAAAGAGAAGAGACUGGUCCAGAGGACUCGAGGCCCAGUUCUGUAUGUCCAUGGACCUGUCCCUUAGUGCCCAGGGAUGGAAUGGUUGUGAGAAGGUGCAAGAGGAAGCUUCAUUUUAGGUGACCCUGCCUCCAGUACUGGGAAACAAAUCCAGCUGCCUAUGUAUGGCUAGCAUCCAGCCUCAGGACCACCUUUGACCACCAUCAACAAAGCUAUGCAUGCCUGGGACCCCCCUGCCUCACUGUCCCGGGCACUACCCCUCGCUUCCUCGGUCCUGAUGCUGCUGCUGAGCUGCCUGUGGUUGCUGGGGGCUGGCCCCAGCCUCAGGUUGGCUCCAGAGCUGCUAACGGAACCCUGGCAGGGCCUGCCACCCCUAGACCUCCUUACCUGGCUUCCUCAAGCUCCUGGCCUCACACUGAUGGCUUUGCUCAG
rnacentral:lncRNA from 1 species